AAAAAAAAACACGUGAGUAACCUGCCCUUGACUUUGGGAUAACUUCAGGAAACUGGGGCUAAUACCGGAUAGGAGCUCCUGCUGCAUGGUGGGGGUUGGAAAGUUUCGUCCGUUGGGGAUGGACUCGCGGCUUAUCAGCUUGUUGGUUGGGUAGUGGCUUACAAAGGCUUUGACGGGUAGCCGGCCUGAGAGGGUGACCGGCAAGAUUGGUACUGAGAUACGGCUCAGACUCGUACGGGAGGCAGCAGUGGGGAAUGUUGCACAAUGGGCGCAAGCCUGAUGAUGCAACGCUUUUUUUU
rnacentral:rRNA from 1 species